AGUGAACGCUGGCGGUAGGCCUAACACAUGCAAGUCGAACGGCAGCACAGUAAGAGCUUGCUCUUACGGGUGGCGAGUGGCGGACGGGUGAGGAAUACAUCGGAAUCUACUUUUUCGUGGGGGAUAACGUAGGGAAACUUACGCUAAUACCGCAUACGACCUACGGGUGAAAGCAGGGGUCUUCGGACCUUGCGCGAGUGAAUGAGCCGAUGUCGGAUUAGCUAGUUGGCGGGGUAAAGGCCCACCAAGGCGACGAUCCGUAGCUGGUCUGAGAGGAUGAUCAGCCACACUGGAACUGAGACACGGUCCAGACUCCUACGGGAGGCAGCAGUGGGGAAUAUUGGACAAUGGGCGCAAGCCUGAUCCAGCCAUACCGCGUGGGUGAAGAAGGCCUUCGGGUUGUAAAGCCCUUUUGUUGGGAAAGAAAAGCAGCAGGUUAAUACCCCGCUGUUCUGACGGUACCCAAAGAAUAAGCACCGGCUAACUUCGUG
rnacentral:rRNA from 1 species